rnacentral:rRNA from 1 species
GGAGGGUGCAAGCGUUGUUCGGAUUCAUUGGGCGUAAAGGGGGUCUAGGCGGCACGGCAAGUCGGAUGUGAAAUCCCACGGCUCACCCGUGGAACUGCGUUCGAAACUGCCGUACUUGAGUAUGGGAGAGGAGAGUGGAAUUCUCAGUGUAGCGGUGGAAUGCGUAGAUAUUGAGAAGAACACCGGUGGCGAAGGCGACUCUCUGGCCCGAUACUGACGCUGAAGCCCGAAAGCCAGGGGAGCGAACGGGGGAUUAGAUACCCCGGUAGUCCUGGCCGUAAACGAUGUGCACUGGGUGUAGGAGGUAUCGACCCCCCUUCUGUGCCGAAGCUAACGCAUUAAGUGCACCGCCUGGGGAUACGGUCGCAAGGCUG